CCCGAGCACACACCCACGCACGCAUGGAGUAGAGAGAGAAACACCUCUACCUCUCUCUAGAUAUCUCUCUCAUCUCUCUAAAUCUCUCUCUAAAAAUUGGAGGGUUGGUGGAGAAGAUGCUUGCGAACGCGUUGGAGGCGACGGAUCGGGCUUUCGUGCGGCCGUUGGAGCGGUGUGUUGUCGUCGCGGCGUUCACAUUGAGGUAAACUUUUAGGAUUUGGCUUAAUCCUUAGUUUUAAGUGUUCUAAUAGCCUCUAAUGAGCAUUCUAAACAUGUUUGCUCUAUUUGAUUUGGAUUAUUUAGAGAUUAAUUCAUAUUAGGGCUCAAAAAUGCAAACUUUCAAAAUAUGAGGGUUUGAUCUCAUUUGACCCUUCAUAAACCUAAUUGCUAGGUAACGAAACGCGUUGGCGAAGACGGAUCGGCAAUCCGACGAGCCGUUACAAAGUUAUUAAAGAAACGGACGUUUAGGCUUCGGGUCCGCCGGGAGGGCCGAGGCGACGUCGUAAAAUCAUGGAAAUGGAUUUGAAGCACCGUGGCACGUAACCGAGGACCUAUAAUUUUCGGGGCUGCGAAGCGGAGCACGGUUGAGGCGCAGUUGCGAUAUCGGGCCGUGCCGGAUACGGGUGCCGCGGGAGGCCGAUUGCAAGUGUCGACAAGCAAUCGGAACGCGAGUUAAGGUGGGUUGUGCUUACCGAAGCGACUAGGUCGCCCUUUAUGUCUAAGAGAAAUGUAAAUUCAUAUUGAUGCAUAUAAAUGGUAGAUGAAUGCAAGAGUUAAAUGCUAGGCGAAUGCAUGUUAAUUGCUAUGCUACGACUACCAUAGAAUGCAUGAUGAACAUAUUAUAGAAAUGCUAAAUAAUGCAUGUGAGCAUAUGGUAAAGAAUGCAUGUUAAUGACAUAAUGUAAAUAUGCUUGUUAAUACAUGUAUGAUGACAUGAUGAGAAUAUGCUAGAUUACAUGCAUAUUAACAUGUUGUAGAUCAUGUGAGAAAGAUUAUGCAUGUUGGCAUCACAUAAUGCAUGCUAGAUAAAAUGUUGAUAGUUAUGGAACUCGACAUGGACAAUUAGGAU
rnacentral:lncRNA from 1 species